AAGUCGUAACAAGGUUUCCGUAGGUGAACCUGCGGAAGGAUCAUUACCGAGUUGGGGUACUCUUCGUGCCCGACCUCCAACCCUUUGUCUACCUGACCAGAUGUUGCUUCGGCAGGCCCGCCGCUCCGCGAGGGGUGGCCGCCGGGGGCCCUUACCGGCCCCGGGUCCGCGCCUGUCGAUGGCCCCUUCUAAACAAACUCUUGAUUAAACCGUGUCGUCUGAGUAAAACAAACAAAAUAAAAACAAAACUUUCAACAACGGAUCUCUUGGUUCUG
rnacentral:misc_RNA from 1 species